CUGAAAAUUUAAUUCUAGUGGAGGGAAGGAGGGAAUUUUGAGAGGUUUUAAGAAGGGCCAAAUUAGAUGUAUUUUUCUGAGCCAAGUUGGAUGUCUGUGCUGGCCAGACCAGAGGAGAUAGCGAGUAAAGCAGACUUCUGUUGGAUUACUUGGCUACAACAGUUAUCAACUACACAAACAAACAAGCAAAUGAAGAAUGCCCUUGUGAAACACUGUGGCAAAUCCCACCAAGAUAAAGUUGUAAAAUCUGGACACAAAGUUUAAUGUCUGGAUCUAAGUUGUGGUUUUAACUUUUCUUUCCCCCGCCCCUCAGCUGAAUUCAGCAAAGAUGACUAGCUACAAUCAUCUUAGGUUCAAAGGUCCACAGCCCUGGUGGAUAAAAUAAAUGGAGGAACCCAAAAUAGAAGUGUUGCUGGUGUUUGGCCAUAUUAAAAAAAAAAAAAAAAAAAAAAAAAAAAAAAAAAAAAAAAAAAAAAAAAAAAAAAAAAAAAAAAAACAAAAGCAUUUUGGAAAAGAAAAAAGAAAAAAAUGUCUCACUCAUUAAAUAAACCUUGCAAGAAACAGAUAAACUUCCAGAGUUUAUUGCAGGUUUGGCUCCUCAGAUUUUAAGCUGAAGUCCUCUCCAAGAACAGAAGAUAAUAAUCUUUUAAUCAGAUGCAACAUUCUCGGGAUGAGCCCACUGGAAGUAGGGGGUGAUGUCUUGAAUGUUGACAGUUGUUUUUUUUAUAAAUCAAUUACUCUGUUGUUCAUAUUCACUUUAUUUGCAGCAGUUUAGCAGUCUGUAGACCAAUGAUGUGAGAAACUGAAGAUCAACUCACAAAUACAUUGAUUUCAGCUUCUGUACUAGGUAUCCAUGCAUACAGUUCACUCAAUCUAAAGAGUUUUGUAUAAUAUCAUACCAUUCCUAGCAAUGUAGCAGACAGUCAUAUGGGGGUCAUAUCUAUGUUCCUACAGAGAACCACUGGCCUGAGCAGACAUCUGUAAAGAUGGAAGGUGUAACCUGUAGAGACAGUUACAGGAAGUGGGUCCUGGGGGGAGGGAGGAAGUGACAAAUCACAGCAGCCUUAGCAAAUGAAGGCUCAUGUUUUUUCAUUCUUGUCAGCAAUCUUCGGUGUUGGUGGUGAGUAUGUGUGGAAGUGAUCUGGAAUGGAUUCUGGAAAACACAAAUCAAGAAAUCAGAUGUGGAGGAGAGAUCUCUGUUUCAACAGGAAUUGUGACAGGUUUGGAUCUUGCAAACACAAUUUUUAUGAGACACAUUUGUUUUUCUUCUUAUUUAAUUCUUUGUGAACUGUCUUUUUGACUGAUUAUCUUUAUCUGAACAGCUCCCUACCAUUCAGAUCCAGCACAGUCAUGAUGAAAAGAUGAAUACUGACGCUUUCAAUGUGGAAAUCCAAUUCCUGCAGUAGUAAUCCCCAUUUAUGUAUCAUCAUAUGUAUGAAGUUUGCCAUUGUCUUCUAUACUCUUUUGCUGCUAGACUAAUAGUCUUGACUAGAAUUUCUUCAUAAAUAGGUUUGAAUUUUCAAACCAUCACCCCAUGCAUCUUAAUACUUGGAAGAAAUAAAGAAGUUUCUCACCUCCUACACACUAUUUUGUAAUUGUUACCGCUGUGCCAACAGAUCCAUUUUAAGGACUAAUCCAGACUAUUAGUCCUGACACAUAGAGCACAUCAUAAUCUAAGCUAUGACAAUUUGACUGAUUGUUUCUUAGUUUUCUCCCCAAAUGUGAUGCUAUCAGGAUCUGGUGAUUAGAAUUUUCCCUUCACAAGUACUAUGGAUUUGGGAACAAGACUCUCACAUGCCAAACUUUUUCUUCAGCCACUGGGUUAAUUCCCACAGUAGUCAUUGAUAUAUGUUUACUACACAUAUGCUUGGUACUAGUUCAUAAAACUGAUGAAAUUUUUCUUUAAAAACUAAGAACGAGAGUAUCAUCAAGUCUGCAGGAAACUCUAUCUACCUGAAGAAAUC
ensembl:lncRNA